GUCUCGGCCGCCCGCUCCGCGCCGAUCAGGCUAUCAGACGCGGCGCUGCUCCUCGACAGCGCGAC
rnacentral:misc_RNA from 1 species